CACUUUUAAAAAAUCCAAAUCGAUGAAAUCAACUUUCCCCAAAAACUCUUUGCUUCUCCCUCAAAACCAAAAUCAAAAUUUUUCUGCUCUCAGUUUCAAAAUCAAAAUCAAAGAAUUACUCAUAAAUUUCAUCGAAUUUUUGUUAAUUUGAAUCAAAAUCGAAGAAAUCGUUCUCGAUCUCAACAGCUUCAGCAUCGAAGAACUCGGAAAAGCUCAUCUCUUAAUCUCAGUUUAAGGGAUUUGUGAAGGAUCGUGAAGGAUUCGUGAAUGAUUCGUGAGGGAAUGUGAAACUUAUAGAAUCUCAGAUUUCAGAGACAGUUAAGACAUUGAUUUUGAGCUUCAUUACUCAAAGCAAGACCCAAAAGAAGUCCUCUAUGGUCUUUCAGUUCCGCAGUUAAAGGGAAAUGGUGCAACUGGUUUAGCGAUCUCUCUCCUCGGUGCCAUGGUUAUGCCGAAGCUUGUCAGUAUUACUUGAUUGAAAGCGGAUUAGCACUUACGGUGGCAUUUCUCAUAAAUGUCUCUGUGAUAUCAGUGAGUGGAGCUGUUUGCAAUGCCUCAGAUUUGGCUCACCUGGAGCCGGAAAGUUAAUCAUCAUUGCCUCGAUGAUCUUAUCCUUUGAGCUCCCAUUUGCUUUAGUUCCACUUCUCAAUUUCACAAGCAGCAAAACGAAAAUGGGCUCACACGCCAAUUCACUCCUGACUUCAUCUGUGACUUGGCUUAUUGGUGGGCUUAUUAAGGGUAUCAACAUAUAUUAUCUAGUAAGCAGUUUCAUCAAGCUGCUUCUCCAUGGUCACAUGAAGCUUGUAGCCAUUGUCCUCUUAGGUGAAGACACAAAGUUUAACAUGAACCUUCAUCAAUCAUCUAGCAGCAAUAGUGAUCAGGAUAGUGGCAUUUCAAAGACUGGACUUUGAGAUUUCACUUGAAAAUGGUUUGCUUCUCAAUCAGAAGAGUUGGUGUUUGUGGGCAUUUCAGUUUUUGUUUAGAAGAGUUAUACUUGUUCGUUGACAUUUAUAGUUUCAAAACAGCAUAUUAUAGUUUCAAUGACAUUUGUAUUUGGAUCUCGUUUGUAAAAACAGGUUCCUUUUAUUAAUUGAAAUUUUUAAUUGAGUUAUCAUUUGAAUCUUUUA